CAGAUGGUGCUGGGCAGGAGAUGAAGAGAACUAGGAGAGACAAUAGCAGCAUACUGCAGUAACUAGAGAGCAAUGGAAAAGCUUUGCUUGUGGAUCGUCAUGGAUGAGUUCCAAAUACCAUCUUGGUUUUGUCUACCAAGAGAGUUGUAGUUAGACUUUUCCUUGAAAUAGGAUUUGGCAGAUGGUGAUGUUUCAAGGAGGGAUAGCUCCAGAAACAGCGAUUAUUCGAUCUGGGAACCUGACAUUCACUUUCCUCCAUCAUCGGCUGUGGACUUCCUCUAUACAGCUGGUUGCUUUGGUUCCGUUAAGGGGAUGUCAUCGCUGCUAAGCAUAGCAACAACAUCAGACAUGGUGGGGCGCUCCGCUGAUUUCUCUUGAACACACAUUAGUGCCACCACAAGACAUUUCAUCAUUUCUCCAGAUAUUCGUAGAUCAGUAUCUUCUGUUCCUCAUGAACACAGCAACCGAGCAACCUAACAAGGUUUUUGUGCUGAAGUUUUGCUACAAGCUGGAUCUCAUUUUUGAACUCCACUAGACCUUGUCUUGACUGUGCACCAAGUUUUUUUAUUGCUAACUCUUGUCCAUCAGGAAACAGCCCCUGUAAAUUUCAUCAAUGAAAUCCUACAUACAUAUGAUGCCAUCAGAAUUAGAUGAUACUGUUACAAGAAAGUACCUUGUAAACUGGGCCAAAGCCACCCUCGCCUAAUAUGUUAUUGGCUGAGAAGUUGUCUGUAGCAUCAGCAAGCUGGGAAAAAUCAUACAAGGAGAACUCUGAACCAGCAUCUUCUAUCUUCCAAAGCCGCAUAACUUCAUCCAUGUCUGUGGUCUGCUCCAUCAAGUUUAUUUUCACUAGAUGCACAUCCUUCAUUAGUUCUUGCAUGUAACUGAAGAAACAGAAAAACAGGCGUGUGCAGAUGAUGGAAAGAGAGUAAACAGUAGCAAUGAUCAAGAUUGCAUGUCCCUUCUUUUGCCCUGAAUUUUGAAACAUAGAAUGGUUUACAUGUAGUGAAUGAAUCAGUUCUACAAUAUCAAAGACUUAGCUCCUGAAUUUUGCUAAGAUAGUGUGCCUUACGGUUGGAUUCAAGUGUUCGUUUCUUUCUUUUUGGCCAAAUUGAUCAGCUAAAUUGAAUCUUAAUUUGUACCAUACCGAAAGGAUUCAUCUUAAACUUUCAGUCAAUAUAUACAUGUAAAAUAUACAUAUUUGGCAAGCAGAGUA